CAGCAUCCGCAGAAGUGUCCCCGCCUCGGAGCCUCGCGGCUGUCGGCUCGUGGACUGCAGAUAUCGCUCCACGGAGUCGGCGAAGCUGAACUUGUCCGGCGCAUAGCCAAGCUGAGCUCUGGCCUUGGCGAUCUGGAAGCGCUAGACAAACUGCAGUGGGAUGGGCCUCAGGCACAGCUUUCAAGCUUCCUGGCUGUUUAAGUGUCCAGAAGAGAGAUUUGCUCCAGCGUCUGAGUUGGAUUUCUCUGCUACCAGCUAACCUGCGGCCUACUGUGUUCAAGAGUAAUGAUAGCUAUCAGUUACGGAGCACAUACUCUGCUUGACCCUGUUAAGUCCUUCAUAUUUAUUACAUUAUUUUCCCCUGACAGCACCAUUUCCUCUUUGCAUAUUUGGAAAUUGAAGAUCAGAAGUGUUAGUGACUUGCCCAAGGUCACACAGGAGGGUCACAUGCUAGCCUGUGUUCUUCAUCCCAUGCUGAGGCCUGAAGGAAUCUACUCAUUUCUUACCCUCUUGUUCCUCAGAUGAACACUAGGGGAAAAUCUGCUGGCUUCUUGAUUCUCCCAUAGCACUGAAAUAGCCCCUAGGAUCAAGCCUUCAGGUCCCUGGUCUUGGAUAAUUUAGUGGGAAACGGUGAGAGGCCAGUCCUUGUCCAUUUUGACCUAGAUACUCAAUGUAGGGAUUUUAGGAAUGCAAAAGUAGCUUGUUCUAGCUGAGGUAAUAUAUAUAUUCACCUAUUAUUUGGCUUAUGUAGAUGCUCAAUAAAUGAAUGAAUGGCUAUAAAAUCAACUGAAAGCUGA